rnacentral:rRNA from 1 species
CAGUAGCCGCGGUAAUACGUAGGUGGCAAGCGUUGUCCGGAAUUAUUGGGCGUAAAGGGCUCGCAGGCGGUUUCUUAAGUCUGAUGUGAAAGCCCCCGGCUCAACCGGGGAGGGUCAUUGGAAACUGGGAGACUUGAGUGCAGAAGAGGAGAGUGGAAUUCCACGUGUAGCGGUGAAAUGCGUAGAGAUGUGGAGGAACACCAGUGGCGAAGGCGACUCUCUGGUCUGUAACUGACGCUGAGGAGCGAAAGCGUGGGGAGCGAACAGGAUUAGAUACCCCAGUAGUCCCUGUCUCUUAUAC